GUGGGGAAUAUUGGACAAUGGGCGAAAGCCUGAUCCAGCCAUGCCGCGUGUGUGAAGAAGGUCUUCGGAUUGUAAAGCACUUUAAGUUGGGAGGAAGGGCAGUAAGUUAAUACCUUGCUGUUUUGACGUUACCGACAGAAUAAGCACCGGCUAACUUCGUGCCAGCAGCCGCGGUAAUACGAAGGGUGCAAGCGUUAAUCGGAAUUACUGGGCGUAAAGCGCGCGUAGGUGGUUUUGUAAGUUGGAGGUGAAAUCCCCGGGCUCAACCUGGGAACUGCCUCCAAAACUGCAUGACUAGAGUACGGUAGAGGGUAGUGGAAUUUCCUGUGUAGCGGUGAAAUGCGUAGGUAUAGGAAGGAACACCAGUGGCGAAGGCGACUACCUGGACUGAUACUGACACUGAGGUGCGAAAGCGUGGGGAGCAAACAGGAUUAGAUACCCGAGUAGUCC
rnacentral:rRNA from 1 species